rnacentral:rRNA from 1 species
GGCUCCUUGUAUAAAUUAAAUAAGGAGUCGGACCUGCCCAGUGAAAUUUUUUAACGGCCGCGGUACUCUGACCGUGCAAAGGUAGCAUAAUCAUUUGCCUUAUAAUUGGAGGCUAGUAUGAAUGGUUUGACAAGAAUAUAACUGUCUCUUUUUAAUUUACUAGAAUUUUAUUUUAAGGUGAAGAAGCCUUAAUUUAAUUGAAAGACAAGAAGACCCUGUCGAGCUUGAAAAGAAUUAAUAGAAUUUAAUUAAAUAGAACUAAAUAAGUUGCUAUUAAAAAUUUUGGUUGGGGCGACUAAGGAACAAAUAAAGCUUCCUCUUAACCUAUAACAAUAUAUAAAUUUUGAUCCAAAAUUUUUGAUUAAAAAAAUUAGUUACCGCAGGGAUAACAGCAUUAUCUUUUUUAAGAGCUCUUAUCGAAAAAAAGGUUUGUGACCUCGAUGUUGGACCAGAAUAUCCUAAAGAUGCAGAAGUCUUUAAGGGUUGGUCUGUUCGACCAUUAAAAUUCU